CCGCUCGUGGCGGAACAGGUAGACGCCCCGGAUUCAAACUCCGGUGCCCACGAGGCGUGCAGGUUCGACCCCUGCCGAGCGGA
rnacentral:tRNA from 1 species